UACGGAGGGUGCAAGCAUUGAUCGGAAUUACUGGGCGUAAAGGGCGCGUAGGCGGCUAGAAAAGUCGGAUGUGAAAUUCCGGGGCUCAACCCCGGAGCUGCAUUUGAAACUUUCUGGCUAGAGUAUAGUGAGGGUAAACGGAAUUCCACGUGUAGCGGUGAAAUGCGUAGAUAUGUGGAAGAACACCAGUGGUGAAGACGGUUUACUGUGCUAUAACUGACGCUGAGGCGCGAAAGCAAGGGGAGCAAACAGG
rnacentral:rRNA from 1 species